rnacentral:rRNA from 6 species
AAAUUGAAGAGUUUGAUCAUGGCUCAGAUUGAACGCUGGCGGCAGGCCUAACACAUGCAAGUCGAACGGUAACAGGAAGCAGCUUGCUGCUUCGCUGACGAGUGGCGGACGGGUGAGUAAUGUCUGGGAAACUGCCUGAUGGAGGGGGAUAACUACUGGAAACGGUAGCUAAUACCGCAUAACGUCGCAAGACCAAAGAGGGGGACCUU